ensembl:lncRNA
CUGGAGGUGCGCGCUUUUGUUGAUCUGAACCUUUUCCCUGACGGGAGUAACGGGAACAGAUAAUGGGCAGGGUGGGAAGGGUCCGUGAGGAUGCGAUUUGAACGCUGCAGGCAUCGGGAGGAUGAGAUGAAAUAGAUGUCGGGCAGCUCUGAGAUCCUAAGAGAAAUAAUGGGAAAUCAACGGAGCAGAGGCUCACUCUGAUAUCAAUGUAAUGUUAGUGAAUGAGGGGUGAGAAGCCCCCCUCCCCCUUGCUAAUAUUUAGUCUCCGCUGUACAUCCAAAACCAAAUCUAUUCUUGAGGUUCCAAAAAUGUUCAAAGCAAUUUGGCUUUGAAUGUGAGAAGUCGAUCGAGUUAUCUUCUGUCCCGUUGUUUGAAGCAUACCUUUUAGCUCCGGCAUUGGUCUCCCAUUAUUGAUCACUUCACGUUUUGAUUGAAAGGCUCUGCCUCCCCUGACCGCACGUCCCUGACAGGUACACAAUAUGACCCUCUCUCAUAAAGUACACUCAAAUACAGGUACACAAUAUGACCCUCAUAAAGUACACUCAAAUACAGGUACACAAUAUGACCCUCUCUCAUAAAGUACACUCAAAUACAGGUACACAAUAUAACCCUCUCUCAUAAAGUACACUCAAAUACAGGUACACAAUAUGACCCUCCCUCAUAAAGUACACUCAAAUACAGGUACACAAUAUGACCCUCUCAUAAAGUACACUCAAAUACAGGUACACAAUAUGACCCUCCCUCAUAAAGUACACUCAAAUACAGGUACACAAUAUGACCCUCUCAUGAAGUACACUCAAAUACAGGUACACAAUAUGACCCUCUCAUGAAGUACACUCAAAUACAGGUACACAAUAUGACCCCCUCU